UAAUACGGAGGGUGCGAGCGUUAAUCGGAAUCACUGGGCGUAAAGGGCGCGUAGGCGGUUAGGUAAGUCGGAUGUGAAAGCCCUGGGCUUAACCUGGGAAUGGCAUUCGAGACUGUCUAGCUAGAGUCUGGUAGAGGGAAGUGGAAUUUCCGGUGUAGCGGUGAAAUGUGUAGAUAUCGGAAGGAACACCAGUGGCGAAGGCGACUUCCUGGACCAAGACUGACGCUGAGGCGCGAAAGCGUGGGGAUCAAACAGGAUUAGAUACCCUGGUAGUCCACGCCCUAAACGAUGAGAACUGGCCGUUGGGGGAGUUAAAUCCUUGAGUGGCUCAGCUAACGCGAUAAGUUCUCCGCCUGGGGAGUACGGCCGCAAGGUUA
rnacentral:rRNA from 1 species